rnacentral:lncRNA from 1 species
GUUUAUUUUUGGAUGCAAUGUUCAGAUGUUCACAGAAGUAUCUAUAGCAUAACACAAUCAUCCUAACCAGAAAAAUGUAGGCUACAUUUGUCCUAGUGCUGAGGAAAGAUUGACGCAACACAAGCUGACGUAAACUAUACUAUGAAUUAGCUAAUAGCAAUUACUAUGUAUAAUUAAUCACAUCAUGGAUGAGCUCACCAUUGAUCAAAAUAAUUGAGUAAAACACUUUCUAGAAAUCGAAAGUAAUCUGAUGAUUAGUUUCAGCGCGCAGCCAUGCUUUUUUACCUCAGAAACCAAAGAUAAGAGAAGACAAGAUUAGUUUGGUCUGUUUAUAGUAUGCAUGUUGAAGGGGUGUGUCGUCUACCAUCGUUCACAUCCCACAUUCACUUCCUGAAGAUCUCAAAAUGAGUGAACCCUUACUCACCUCAUUUUGUUAUAGCAUCUUUGGUCCGACAGACGAUCAAGAGAAACCCAGAAUGCAUUGUGUCAACAAACAUGGCUCCACACACAUAGCUGGAAUUAGCUUAGCUCAUUAUCAGUACAACCUUAAAAACAUUAUUUUACACACAUACUAUGUGCCCAUUAAAAUCUAUGCAAAAAUCGGAAUGCAUGAUUUAUCACCAGUAAUUGAAAAACGUGAAUAAAAUAGUAAAUAUAUCAAUAAUAGCACAACAAAAAUUCUGAUAGUGAUUUAUUGAUACAAAUGGCGCGUGCAGGCAGUCAAUCACGGUAACCUCUCACUCCCACUCUGAGCCAUUCAGUGUUGUUGUUAAUGUAUGUAGCAAAUGAGCUAAGCUGUAGCAUUAACAAUGUAUUUCAAAAGGAGACAACUCAGAAAUGCAGAAAUUCUGGAGAUUUAAAAAAAAUCUGACAACGAGUCUGAGUCUGAAAGCCAGGAAUCAGAUUCUGACAGUGACAGAGGACCCCUUGUCCACUGACAAAGUCCCAGUUCCCUUUCAAGAUGCUGGUGGUGAUGGAGGCUGACCGAUAGUGGAUGAAGGAGUUCUGUGGUAGCUGGAAGGCUGCCAGCCAUUUCACCCCUCCUGGCCCUGCUGUUUGUGAGGAGUCCCAGUCUGGAGUGCAACACCCCUUGCCAUUUCCAUCUGAGGCAGAGUGCUUCAAGUUGUUUCUGACAGAGGAGUUGGUGGGAGACAUAGUAGAGACCAAUCACUAUGCCUUGGAGCUACAGGAGAAAAGAGACAGGAGUGGGGGGGACAACCACAAUUAGUGAAAUGUAUACAUUCCUGGUGACAGUCCUUCUCAUGGGGAUUAUAAAGAAGAACUCCCUAAGAGAAUACUGGAGCAGAGAUCCUAUGUUUGCAACUCCCUUCUUUGCCACCCUCUUUUCCCAAGACUACUUUCUAGUUCUGCUGCUAUGACUGCAUUUCAUCAACAACGCUACUGCCAUCCUAAAUGACCCGUUAUACAAAAUAAGAAAUGUUAACAGCUGGCAGUAAAGUGCCAUGACAAACGAGAAGUCCAUGUCCUCUCCACUGUCCAUACAGCAACCAUGUCGGCCACAGGGAAGGUGGACCACCUGACGGGAGAGAAACAAACCAGACAGAGAAACAUCAAACCCGACUGCGUGCUUGACUAUAACCUCAAUUCAAACUGUUAAAAAAAAAAAAAACUUGUUAGAAAAUUAUUUAAAUUUGACAAGUUGAAAACAUAAUACAAAUGAAAACAGUCUGCAUGCUUUGGUUUGAGGGCAGCGCGGAAUAAAUGUACUGUUAAGUAACAAUCACAUUCUGGAAUGGAGAGAACGUUCUAACAUCACAUGCAUAAAAAAACUCACGCUGGGGCGACCGUUAGAGAUAUUUGUAACUCACGCAUGAAAGGGUUUUAAGGAACUCCAAAGUUAAUGUCUCAACGUAGUGGCAGCCCACCACCAUACUCUUACAUUCUGCAGGAGAAAGAACAAGAAAACCCUGUAUGGGAAUUAGCAGAGAACCCGUGUAGGGUAAUUAGCAGAGAACGGAACACAAGCACGACAAACCACGGGUGGAAGAUACAGAUCAACCACACGCAGCGAGUGGAGCACUCACGAGGAGGGGCUGGCCAGCUGCUCCAGGCUGCAAACAGCCAGUGAGUAUGCUUCCUCGCAAGAUAUUACACUUACCAAGCGAACUUCAGAAAGUUUGUACCUCAAACCAUUCGGAUGUCCGCCAAGAAAAUGAAAUUAAACGUGUGUCGUGGCCAUGGGGUCUAUAUAUAGGGGCGGACCCCAGCCGUGACAAAGGUGUACACGGGAGUAAAUCUGUAAAUCCUCCCCUCGGAUGUAUCCCUCUGCCGCGGAGUGAUACCAAUAUAUUGGAGUGAUCCAAUAUAGUGAAACAUAACUGUCCAUACCACUUCCAUGAGAAACACUGCGAUUUCCCAUUGACCACUGUAGUGGGGAACUCUCGCAUGUUUGGUAGUGUGGGGGUGGUUCGUCAACUACAGACAAACGCGCAGGUGGACGGGUGAAGUCAUGCUCACCGUGACGAGGCACCGCCAGGCGAUGGUGAGCUAGUUGGCCUUCGGAACUCUAAGCAGUAGCCAUGCAACCUCCUCAUGGGCUGACGACGACUCUGACCAGAUCGGGCUCGGCCGAUGGAGAAAUGUUGGCAAUCCACUAGGAAUGCUUUGGAGAUCGACCAGUCAAUCGUUUGGUGACCACUGCUCUUGAAAGUUGAGUGAAGUUCAAUCUAGUGCUUCUCUCUGUGGGCUAUUAUUUCUUCUGUGUGGCAGUCCUGGGGGAGCCGGCAGUCUCCCGGCUACUGAUAGAACCAUCACCAGAGGGAACAUUGGUCUUACCCUCACAAAAAAGAUUGCAGCUUUGAAAAUGCAGUAAAAGUGCAGUAACUGCAGUCGACUGCGAUAUUUUGGACACAGUAAUUGCAGAAUAACUGCAGUGUACUGCAGCUGAACUGCAGUUAUACUGCACUUUAACUGCAGUAAUACUGUAAAAUUACUGCAGUAAAAAAAAGGUGCUAUUUUGGACACAGUAUUUGCAACAUACUGCAGUUACACUGCACGCUGACUGCAAUCUUUUUUCGUAAGUGUAUAGCUAGAACACUCCAUUUAAUCUUGAUAUUAUUGUCACGUCCUGACCAGUGAGAAGGGUCAUUUUGCCAUAGUAGAAUGGUCAGGGCGUGGCAGGGGGAUUGUUUUGUGUGUUUUGGGGUUGGUUUGUUUCUAGGGGAAUUUGUUCUAGUUUUCUGUUUCUAUGUUUCAUUUUCCAUGUGUGGCCGAGUAUGGUUUCCAAUCAGAGGCAGGUGUCUUUCUAUGUCUCUGAUUGGAAGCCAUACUUAGGCAGCCUGUUUUUCUUUGGGUUUUUAAGGGUGUUUAUUUUCCAUUUAGUGAUUGUACCUGACGGAACUGUUGAGCGUUUAUUAUUUUGGUUGUUGAAGUGCAUUCAUUAAAAUCCAAAGAUGAGCACUAUACACGCUGCGCCUUGGUCUAAUCCUUUCG